UUUUGCAGCGCUGGUUGUUACAGCUGUAUUAGUACAGCUGUAUAGGGCCAGCGCUGCAGAGUGGUCACACUUACAGCAACCAGCGCUGCAAGUGGUGUUACAUGUGGCCACACUGCAGCGCUGUUGGGCGGCUUCAAGGGGGGUUAGGGGAACGCGAGAGCAAACCGCGGGGAAGCAGGUCUCCUUCCCCGCGGUUUGUUCUCGCGUUCCCCGAACCCCCGUGCAAGCAGGUCUCCUUCCCAGCGGUUUGCUCCGGUGUUCCCCGAACCCCCGUGCAAGCAGGUCUCCUUCCCAGCGGUUUGCUCCGGUGUUUUUUGAACCCCCCUGCAAGCAGAUCUCCUUCCCCGCGGUGUGCUGUCGCGUUCCCCGAACCCCCCUGCAAACCGCGGGGAAGGAGAUCUGCUUGCACGGGGGUUAGGGGAACGCGAGAGCAAACCACGGGGAAGGAGACCUGCUUCCCCGCGGUUUGCUCUCGCGUUCCCCGAACCCCCCUGCAAACCGCGGGGAAGGAGACCUGCUUGAUUACCAGAGAGGCUUCCUCUGGUAUGCUGGGAUACCUGCUUAUUCCACGGAGGUCAAGAAAAACGCUGGUGAGUGUUUACACCUGAUGACCAGCGCUGGAUCACCAGCGCUGGAUCCUCUACA